rnacentral:rRNA from 1 species
AUUUUAAUUAUAUUAAUAAAAUUUGAUUUUGUUUUAGUUUAAUUGGUUUUUAUUAUGAUAGCUUUAUAUACUAGUUUUUGCGUGUUGUUUAAUUAAUCUUAAUGAUUGAAUUAUUUUAUUGAUAUUAUUUGUAGUUUUUUAUAUUGGUUGUAUAAUAAAUAAUUUUGGAACCAGCUAUUUUAUUUUAGAAUUGUAAAAUUCUGUGCCAGCAUACGCGGUUACACAUUUAAUUCUAAUCAAUUUUUUUUGUUUAUAUUUAUUUUUAUUUU